GCAAUAUAUUGCAAUUUAUUACCUUUUUUCCAACUCCAAAAUUUUACCAAUUUCAAAUGAUGUCCCCAAAAGGAAACUUUGUCAACAUAUGUUUUAUCUAAAUAGAUAGAUUUCUCUGUGUUCCUCUCACUUCAGUUUUAUUGCUGCAAAAUGGGAUUGUCAAGCAGACAAACUAACCAACACAUACAUAAUAAUAGAUUGAUACUUGGCAUCUUCAUCUGUGUACAGUA